UGUUCCUGAUGUAAAUUUGGGUUUCUUUCGUUUUGAUUGGGAUAAUUGUUCGCGAAUUGCUUAAUUCUUUUGUUGAUCAACAUCUUUGUUAGGGUUUGAGACCGAUGUUUGCGAUUCGGAGACUUGAUUUUUGUGGAUUUAUAUAUAUGUUUUCUUUUCUAAGUUUUUGGUCAUGAUGCUUCUUAUCCGUCCAUUGCUGGUGCCUUUAAUCGUUAUGAUCAUAAAUCUGCACGGAGUUAGUGAUGGUCGUUUUUGCUCGUAUUGCGUUAUUAUUGAAAAAUUUGUUCCCUCUAAAUAUGGACGGAGAAUGAUGGAAAAGGUUAUGGUAAUAGAAAGUUAGAAAACCCCAUCUUGAAGAUAUGCUAUUUGAUUCUUUCAUUGAUUUUAAUUCCGCUUUCCAAGGGAACGUGCGAUCGUUGUAAAAAAGAGAUUGUAGAUCUAUUUUUUUGGUACAUUGUUGAUGUCUUGUUAACCUCCCAUGCUAUAUAGUGGUAACAUCAUGCUCGAGCCAGACAAAAGAUUUACUGAUGUUUUUCCCACAUGUAUAUGCAUGCAGAUGCGGAUUUGCAUUUAUAGUUUCCUUGCAUAUUAAAUUACAAGGUGAUAUGAAUAAUUAGUGUUGAAAGAUGGUUUCUGCUCCUUUGGCAACUUAGGACCUGUAGGCAUUUGUCUGGUUUUAGAAGUCAUCCUUACAUGUAAGGAAGUUGUUCCCUAUGCCAGUGAGGGUUAAGGAAAUGUGAAGCUGUGAAGUUUAUUCUUUCUCGUCAAUUUCUUAAUACAAUAAGCGAUUUACCGUUUUAUCGGAUAAAUUAAAUGGUGAAAUUGUGAUUAAUUUGUAAUUGGAUGGUCUGUGGAUGUUGUCAAGGAAUUCUGUCCUGUAAUUGUUGGCAAACCAAAAAACCGAGAUGAGUUAUUUCAUCGGCGGGGUGUCAGCUUAGUGGAUAGAGGUUGCUAUCAAAGCUCGGGACAUUUUACAGUCUAGUUUCAUUCUGGCAUCAUCAUUUUAAAUUCUUAACAGGCAACUUUGAGCCAUUUAGAACCUUCCAUUAUUGGUCAUGUAGUGUAAGCAAAUGUAAUGUGGAGCAGCCAUCAAGAUCCCCCUGGACAUAUGAAGAGUCUACAUGGAAGAAAGAAAGUAUGUAUUGUGAACUCUAUUCUUCUCCGAGUAUGCUUAUGGGGGAUUCAAUGAUUAUGAAAAUGGUCUUACUAAACUGGGUGGCAAGAAAAGGAUGUACUACUAGCAAUUUCUUUCCAUAAUGAGGUGUCAUGGAACCACCUCUUUGAUUGCUUUUCAUUCAGCUAUAUCAUAUGCUUAAUCAUUCUUCGAGUUAUUUAUUUUUUCAUUUAUGUAUCGUAUAAUUUAGUUGCAUUUUGUUCCUAGAAGUGGUUUGAUGAUAAUGAUCUCUUCAAGAUUGAAGAUUCAGUUUUACUUUCAGUUUCAAAGAGUCAAGUGGGUUUCAAUUUGGGUAAUUUCAGCAUUCUGGGUAGUCUGAGCUCUAGUUUUAAUAGUUUCAUACAAGAAAAAAUCCAAAAAUUUAAAGAUAAGUAAAACAAGAAAUUGCGAAACAAACAACUAAACAUAUUAAAUCAAAUUUCAUUUAAAAUAUAUUGCAUUGUCUGGGAUCUUGUAGGCCUAUUGUUUUGGUGGUUUCUUGUUGAAACAAUAUAUGUAUAGGAUGAACAUGUGCAUGUACAUAUGUUUCUAUUUUUUUUCCUAGCAUAAAAGAAUUAUAUUUUACAUCAUCCUCCAUGACAAUUUAGCAUACAUAAAUCUAAAUACUUUAUAAAUCUAAGCUCUAGGGUUGCCAAGCCAAUGUCAAAAAGUACUUCCUCUAAAUUACUCUGAAGCCCAAAGUUGCCAAAAAAUAAUCUAAUGUGCAUUCGGGUCCCACAGUGGUGGCUUUAUCUUUGGUCAUUGGAAUGUCUUUGAAUAGCUGUCUUGGUUGAGAGAAGUGGUACUCCUAGGGCAAGCUAUCCACCUUGGAAAGGUGAAAGUUGGUGAAUGGUGCAUAUCAUGUAGAAGACAACCAUAAUGCCCGUUGUUUGAUUUUAUACGUCAGCCCUUCUGAUUCAGAAUACAACAAAUCUGUAGCCCAACCUAGACCAAGUUCAAUCUUCAUUGAUGCAUCUGUUUUGCUUCUAGCUUUAUACAUGGGGUCUGAUUUUCCUCUAGGUUUCUGUAUAGGAUGAAAUAGGUUAGUCUGGUUUGUGGCUCUUUUAAGUAAGUUAAAUUGUCAUCAGUUUGAUAGAGUACUAGUUCUGGAUGACCAAUCUAUAGAAAACUGGUGAUGUGGACAAUAAAAUAAAGCACACUGAAUCUCUUGGAUUGGCUGGCCAUUCAGAGAUGAGGCAUCUAAGAAGGUUUUUAAGUAAGGAGUAAUUCAUUUAUUUGUUUAUUUUUUAAACAAGAACCAGGACGGGAGUAAUCCUAGCCAAAAUUGGGGUGAGGGUGGGGUUUGCAUGCGGGUCCUUGGUACCAACUGCCAAAGACUUCAUCAAGUGCACUAGUUGUCACCCUCCUGCCAACAUAGUUAGACCUAAAAUAUUUCAAUUUUGGCCCAGAACAUGACUACAUAAUGGGAACUGAUUUCUUCACGGGAAAAUUUACCUUUAGAUUUCAGUAUAGAUGAUUUUUGCUAUGUUAUACAGGUAUAUUCUUUAUAAAUUAAAGAUGGUUUAGUUUUCAGGAAUGUCAGUGUUGAAUAGGUUUGUGAGAUCUGGGCACACAUUGUACUGGUUCAAUCUAUAAACUUAAAUGAAUUAGAUUGCUUAUAUAAAUGUAACUAUAUCGACAUUAUAUAUACAUGUGUGACUAUGUACUGUGGAUGAAUGCAUAUGAACAAAUUUAAUGAUAAUUUGUAUAUAUAAAUAAAGUAUAGGUUAAAACAAAAAACAUCCACGCACCUAUAUACAUAUUUUUGUGUAUAUAUAACUAGAAUUCAUACAUAUAUGUAACUAAAUAUGUAUACGAAAACAUAUCCCAUAUAAAGUAUUCUCUUGCAAUCUUUUUUUUGUAUGACACAUGUAUAGUGAUAAGGGAGCAAGAAACUUGAACUAGGCUUCAAUAAAAAUUAUAAUGUUAAAAUAAUAAAUUAAAGUAAUCACAAAAAGACCUUUCAUUCAACAAUUGCAACUUCUAACUCCAAUCUCGAGCAAGACAGAUGGCUCAGGAAGCUCACGAAACUCCACCAGCUGAGCUAAAACAACAAAAAUAUAUGUUAUUAUUUCUUUUAUAUUUAUAAUAAAUCGAGUAAAAGUCAAAUUCUAGUAUUUUUUGAGAGAGACUUAAUUGUUUAUGUUUACAACAGUAUAAUUUAAGGUAUAUUUAAAAAUCCAAUUGUGAAAAUGAAGUACUUGAUCAUAGAAUGAUUGAGUGAAUUUGUGCUGAGUCCGUGCCUAGGCGAUCACCUAGGUGCCUAGGUGACCGCCUAGGCUAUAGGCUAGUCUAUCGCCUAUAGUCGCCUCGGCUAUUUGACAACUAUGAUUUGUAAGAGUUGAGUGUUUGUAUCCUUAUCAUUGAAAAGCAAUGUUUGAAUAUGGUGAAUUACCUCUUGAUUUCAAUUUUCUUAUCAGGGCUUGCAUUUAGUUAAUCCAACUCGUAUUGUUGAGCCAAUUAAAAUAUUAGAAUGGUGGAGGCAUGGAUUUUUUUGUUAUUUUAUAAACAAUUAUUUGUGAACAAGACACUUUUGACAGUAAUUAAUUAUUUUGUAUUGUCAUAUAACAUCACUUUUCUGUAACCAUUAUGUUCAACUGGGAACUAUCUUUUCGAAUGAUAUUGAUAUGAUCUGUGUAAAUAUUUUACCAAAACAUGGGAAGAUUCUAGCCUCUUGAAGUGUGUAGUAAAUAUUUUUUUUUU